GAGAAGUUUUUAUACCUGGUUUGCACGCUGUGAUCCUUACUUCUUGGAGUUCUCUCACCUGGAAUCAGCAGGUGAGCGAAGACCACACACUGCGGAGUUUCUCACCUGUGAAGCUAAGAAAAUAAAAACGUACUGGCGCAUCUAGCUCGGCAUCUUGCUCUCUCAGUGGCCAACCCCAUGCUUGAGCUCUCCGAAUGAAGGAACUCCACAGGUGAAGUGUGAUGCUGCAAUUAGCAAAUCUUCAUAAUUGUUUCACACGCCCAUGUCAGGGGAAAUGCCACAGCUGUCCAGUCGUGAACUACUCUGGGGUUGCGGCGCUCAUCUCGCUUUACUGGACGAUGGAGUCGGCGUUUGUCCGCAGACAGU